rnacentral:rRNA from 1 species
GACGUAGGUGGCGAACGUUAUCCGGAAUUAUUGGGCGUAAAGGGUGCGUAGGUGGCCUGACAAGUUAUCAGUGGCAAAUCGAGGCUCAACCUCGUGGAAACUGGUAAUACUGUCCGGCUUGAGUACAGGAGAGGUUAACGGAACUCUAUGUGGAGCGGUAAAAUGCACAGAUAUAUAGAAGAACAUCAAUAACGGCGAAGGCAGUUAACUAUUCUGUUACUGACAUUGAGGCACGAAAGCGUGGGGAGCAAAACGG